CCCUUAGAUGUCCGGGGCCGCACGCGCGCUACACUGAAGGAAUCAGCGUGGCUUUCUCCCUGACCCGAAAGGGUUGGGAAACCCGUUGAAUCUCCUUCGUGAUAGGGAUUGGGGCUUGAAAUUGUUCCCCAUGAACGAGGAAUUCCCAGUAAGCGCGAGUCAUAAGCUCGCGUUGAUUACGUCCCUGCCCUUUGUACACACCGCCCGUCGCUCCUACCGAUUGAGCAUCCCGGUGAAGACUCAGGAGAUAUGUACGUGGCUGGUCUCCAGCUGCGUUGCGUGCCGAAUUUGUCUAAACCUUGAUGCUUAGAGGAAGGAGAAGUCGUAACA
rnacentral:rRNA from 1 species